UGGGGCUGGUGCUUUCCUCUGCCCGCUCCAAGGGGCAGCAGGAAUCUGGCGGGUAGAACAGGGCUGGUGGGACCCUUCACCGAGCCAGGCUGUGGGUGGGAGGGCACGACAGAGGGAACAGAGAGCCAGGGGCAAAAGCUGUACAGACCCCAAGGUGGCGUGACCCACAACCCCCACUUCAGUUGUGGGCAAGGAGUUCCCAGGCUGGGGGCUGAAUCUGAGCUACAGUUGCCAGCUGACGCCAGAGCCACACUGAGCAUAACUCAGGUAGUCAGUGUAGGAGCAGGAGCUUCGAUGCCUUCUUCGAUAUGGCCACUGAUUAACAUUUGUGGCUUAUGGGCUCCAGGGAGUAACAUCCCCACAGGCCUUGUUUACUAUAGGGAGUGUACCUGCGCCCAGAUGGACAUUAACCCCUAGUCCCCUGUGACUCAGUCUACGGGAAGAAAAGCACAGAGAGACUAUGAGACUUAUGGGAUGUUUCCACCCCUAAGACCCUAUUGGACAAGGACUGAUAUGGGUAAUUGAGCAAGGCCAAUGGGAGAAAAAACCACAUCUUUCUGGACCCCAUGUUGGUACCCUCCCCCCCUUUAAGGGCAAUAGAGAAAGGGGGCCCUUUUCCCUGCUCCCAGCAACCCUGGGAGCUAUUUGCUUUCCUUUAAUAAAGAUUUUGCUUGCUUGCUUGCUGCCUGUGUGUUCGUGGAGCUCAUUCUUCGACUGCCGUGAACAAGAACCUGGAUUCCGAUAUCAUCAUUCCAGUACCAACAGCAACGCCAGAUCCGAGCUGCAUCUGCGACCUACACUACCGUGCACAGCAAUGCUGGAUCCCCAACCCACUGAGUGAGGCCAGGGAUCGAACCUACAUCCUAAUGGAUUCUAGUUGGAUCAUUUCCACUACACCAGGAGGGAAACUCCUGGGAGUAUAUUUUGAGGAUGGCAGAUCCACACGGAGGAAGGAUCUUAGGGUCUGAGUGACUCCCUGAGCAGGACCGCAUGGACCGAGCACCCAGCCAGGAAUGCCGUUGUUGGACUUUGCAUGAGCAAGAAGUUCUGUUGUGUCAGCUACAGAGAUGGGGAGCAUCAGAAACCUUCCCUGGCAGCCUCCUGGCAGACCUCCCUCCCCGCUCAUUGACCAGCUUUAGAUCCCACACUCUCCCCAACUUGUUUGCCGAUGGGAUUGGUGUUCAAACAGUCAAGGGAGAAGGUGGGAAUUGACUUGGAGUAGGUGACCAAUGGUGGCUGCUACGUUAGUGAGGCCAAACAGCUUUUUACAUAUUUAUGGCCUAUUUUUAUUUUUUGUCAAUUGCCUCUUUGUGUUACUUUGCCUAUUUUUUUUUUCUUACUUUCCUUCCCUCCCUCCUUUCUUUCACUUUUUUUCAUUUUAUGGCCGCACCUGCAGCAUAUGGAAUUUCCUGGGCUAGGGAGUGAAUCUGAGCCACAGCUGCGACCUGUGCUUCGGCUACUGCAGCACUGGAUCCUUUAAGCCAUUGCGCUGGGGUGGGGAAUCGAACCUCAUCUCCACAUUGACCUGAGAUGCUGCAGUGGAUUCUUAACACACCGUGCCACAGUGGGAACUCCUUGCCUAUUUUUUCUAUCAAGGUUUUCUUUUUCCUUUUCAUGGCUGCACGUGUGGCAUAUGGAAGUUCCUGGGCCAGGGGCUGCAUCAGAGCUGCAGCUGCCACUCACAUCACAGGCAUGGCAACAUCGGAUC
rnacentral:lncRNA from 1 species